rnacentral:tRNA from 1 species
GCACCCGUAGCUCAACUUGGAUAGAGUACUGCCCUCCGAAGGCAGGGGUUACAGGUUCGAAUCCUGUCGGGUGCC